rnacentral:rRNA from 1 species
UACGUAGGUGGCAAGCGUUGUCCGGAAUUAUUGGGCGUAAAGAGCGUGUAGGCGGCUUGUUAAGUCUUGCGUGAAAUCUCGGGGCUCAACCCCGAGCGGUCGUGAGAAACUGGCAGGCUAGAGUGCGGGAGAGGAGAGUGGAAUUCCUGGUGUAGCGGUGAAAUGCGCAGAUAUCAGGAAGAACACCCGUGGCGAAGGCGGCUCUCUGGAACGCAACUGACGCUGAGACGCGAAAGCGUGGGGAGCAAACAGG